rnacentral:rRNA from 1 species
UGUUGCUUUACACAUAUCACAGGAGACACGUGUGAUAAGGGGAUCUCGAGCGCCAGCAUAUAACUUUGGCUGUCCAGAUGCUUAAAAAGCAUUUGUUAGCAAGGCCGGGAAAGACCGUUGCCAGCCGCCCCGAAACACCGGCGCCCAAGGGGAAACCGUUAUUAUUUGGGCUAAAGGUCCGUACCCGGUUUGUUCGCCUUCCGGAAAACUGUCAGCUAAAUUAUAGCAUAUCGGGGAACUAGCAGACUGGAACGGGAGAGUAAGAGUACUAAAGGGUAGACGAAAUCUUGUAACCCUGUGGACCCCGGUGCGAAGCGCCUACCAGAAGGGUCCACAUUAGGCGAAACUGUGCGUCAACCGAUAGUGCCCGAGCCUUGCGUAACAUAUCGUUGAGCAGGCUGUGCACCUGAUGCGCGAUGAAGCGCGAGCAGCACUUGAAGUAUGUCGCAGGGAACUAAGGAUGGUUGCCAAGGACAUCCGUCAAGUCCAGGAAUGACGUAACGAGCUCAUUCAACUUCGCAUUCUGGCAGGUUGUU